GCUUAACACAUGCAAGUCGAGCGAGAAUCGUUUUGCUGAAGGCUUCGGUCUGACGCAGAAUGAGGAAAGCGGCGAACGGGUGAGUAACGCGUGGGCAACCUGGCCUUAAGAAAAGGAUAGCCCCCGGAAACGGGGAGUAAUACUUUAUGAGAAUGAAAGAGGGCAUCCUACUUUCAUUCAAGGCGCAAGCGCUUAAGGAUGGGCCCGCGUAUCAUUAGCUAGUUGGUGAGAUAACAGCCCACCAAGGCAACGAUGAGUGGCCGAUCUGAGAGGGCGAACGGCCACAUUGGAACUGAGAGACGGUCCAAACUCCUACGGGGGGCAGCAGUGGGGAAUAUUGCGCAAUGGAGAAGAACUCUGACGCAGCAAUACCGCGUGAGCGAAGAAGGUCUUCGGAUCGUAAAGCUCUGUUAUCAGGGAAGAAGAAAAUGACGGUACCUGAUGAGCAAGUCCCGGCUAACUACGUGCCAGCAGCCGCCGUAACAC
rnacentral:rRNA from 1 species